UACGUAGGGUGCGAGCGUUGUCCGGAAUUAUUGGGCGUAAAGCGCGCGCAGGCGGUCGCUUAAGUCUGGUGUUUAAGCCCGAGGCUCAACCUCGGUUCGCAUCGGAAACUGGGCGGCUGGAGUGUAGGAGAGGAAAGUGGAAUUCCACGUGUAGCGGUGAAAUGCGUAGAGAUGUGGAGGAACACCAGUGGCGAAGGCGACUUUCUGGCCUAUAACUGACGCUGAGGCGCGAAAGCGUGGGGAGCAAACAGG
rnacentral:rRNA from 1 species